rnacentral:misc_RNA from 1 species
AUUUUUUUUUUUUUUUUUUUGGGAUAAGGUGCAGGUCGAUGAUAAUUAAUUGUGUUGGUCGAUGAUGAUCAGUUGCAUUUCAUCCGUAUUUUUAAUUUUUAAAAUUUUAAAUUUCCUAAUAAUUUUUCAGUAUAUAUCUAUCAUCCGAGCUUGGUUGUGAGAGUUUGUUUAUUUCAUGCUGGUUAACUCUUUAAAGGACUCUAAAAUCUAAAAAUUAUUGGAUCAUUUUUAUGCCCGAAAUUAUCUCAAUUUUGGAUUUUCAUUUAUCUGUAAAUGACAUCAAAUUGUAUGGUUAGUUUCUGGGUAAAUUCUAGAGAGAUUAUCUUAAAGCGCCACAUUGCUAAAGAUGGUAAUAAGAAAUUUUAAUCCCAUUUAAACAAACCCCCUUUGCCUUUAUACGUUUUCGUGCUUGGAGAUGGUGAAUUCUGCUUAAUUCAUAUGCAGUACAUAUAAUAAAAGAAAAAGUACCUCAUUUACAUUUCAUGCUCUCACAAAAGAAAGUGCACAGACGUUUUUGCCAAUUUGUUGUGAAAGUGUCACUAUCUAGAGUUUGCUAAAUAAAUUUCUUCCUUAGGCCUUCUGGUGAAAGUUUCCUGUUAUUUUUUCUUCCUUUUCUUUCUUGGAUUUAUAGGGGAACUGUUGUUUCUAUUUUUUUAUAAGUUCAAUUUGGAGUUCCAGGUGACCAACGUUUUCUAUGACCAAUUGACGUGAUUCUUACUUUGGGGCAUGAGGUUUAUCAGUGCUCUUUAAUGAUUAAGUUCAGGGAAGUCAGCCUGUACUAUUUGAUUCAGGAGAAUCAGGUGCAUCAAACUUUAAAAGUUAGUAUGUUUUUUCAUAGUUGAAGGGAUUAAGGGAAUGUGUUCCUGCUUUGAAUCAUCUGAAUUCGUAUUUUUGCUGAUUAUAAUUUACUUAAACAAAAUAGAAUAUUGCCUCUUUAUAUUUCUAUAGAAGAUAUCAGCCUUUAAUUGUAAUAUAAAAUUUCUUUGAAGCUGAAGGCAUUUAGAUUAUUGGGAUUGCCUUAAAAUACAUGAACGUGUAUUUAUUUUACUGUUGGAUCCAUUGGCUGACAUGCACUCCAACCUUACUAUUCUGCUAACUAGGAGCAACUAUUUUAUUGGACUUAAGCUCUGCAUUUUAAAAGGCGAUUUCUGCCAAAACGUUAAUUUCCCCUUAUUUGGCGCUCGAUGAUAUGCAUUUCAUCAAGUAAGCUCCUAGGUCCCAAGUUUCUGACUGUGGGGUUUGGAGUAUUGGAGUGAUUAGAUUAAUGUUUAACUGGCAUUUUGAAGUUCAUGUCCUUUUUUGUGCAACUUUUGCUUUUAAUAAAUCUUGGAACUGCAUUUCAAACAAAUGAUACAUAGUUCAGUCACUCAUCAUUGUUUCUUCACUCUGUGUCGUGUGUGUGUUUUUCAAUACAGGAGUUGUCAUUGGCGUGUUCUACUUCAUAAAUAGCCUCCUUUUAGUAAGUGGGAAAUCAUAUAAUUUGCUGCAUUUCAAAAUCGAAGUAAAUCACAUAAUUUGCUUUUUUUUUUCAAAAUCUAAUGUUGAAAUGAUGGUGAUUAUUGUUCUUAUUUGGUCAACUAUCUAAUAGUUGUCAAGUGGCUGUGCAGCCAAAGUUUUUACAUUGGUCCUAUAUUGAAUCUUUUCACUUUUGUAUUUGGAUUUUAGGUGUCCCCUGGACAGAAGAGGAGCAUCGUCUAUUCUUAGUUGGUCUUCAGAAACUGGGGAAAGGAGAUUGGCGUGGAA